rnacentral:miRNA from 1 species
UUGUCCAAAAAGUUCAUUUGGGUUUUUCCAUAAGCUGUUAUGGUAAAAACCCAAACGAACUUUUUGGCCAA